rnacentral:rRNA from 1 species
UAGGGAAUCUUCCACAAUGGGCGCAAGCCUGACGGAGCAACACCGCGUGAGUGAAGAAGGGUUUCGGCUCGUAAAGCUCUGUUGUUAAAGAAGAACACGUAUGAGAGUAACUGUUCAUACGUUGACGGUAUUUAACCAGAAAGUCACGGCUAACUACGUGUCAG